rnacentral:sRNA from 1 species
AUGCCAGAGUAUAUAUGCAUAUUUGAACAGUCACCUGGAUCUGAUUAAGAAGGCUCAGCCUGUGGGUUUCCUUACUGUUGAUUUACAUGUUUGGCCAGAUUUCCAUGGCAACCGGUCUCCCUUAGCAGAUCUGACACUAAAGGGCAUGGUCACCGGAUUGAAACUGUCUCAGGACCUCGAUGAUCUUGCCAUUCUCUACCUGGCCACAGUUCAAGCCAUUGCUUUGGGGACUCGCUUCAUUAUAGAAGCCAUGGAGGCAGCAGGGCACUCAAUCAGUACUCUUUUCCUAUGUGGAGGCCUCAGCAAGAAUCCCCUUUUUGUGCAAAUGCAUGCGGACAUUACUGGCAUGCCUGUGGUCCUGUCGCAAGAGGUGGAGUCCGUUCUUGUGGGUGCUGCUAUUCUGGGUGCCUGUGCCUCAGGGGAUUUCGCUUCUGUACAGAGUGAUCCAAGAACAGGACCUAUUACUUUCCAUCCAUUGUCAUUCAUAGACCCCUUGAAGCAACCCAGUGGUUGGUAGCAGCAAUCUUUGUGCAGAUGAGGACUCUGAAGCUCAGAAGUGUUAUAUAACUUGUUUAAUACAAAGCCCACGCUCUUUGUAUUCCAUCAGACCAUAUCCUAUAGAUACAUAUACAUUGCUAGGGAAGUACACUAUGGCAACUGAGACACCUCUCACAAGGUGGUAUGGCUUAUAAAAAAUAGCAUUACGUAUUUGUCAUCAUUGCUUGGUUGAGUGUCCAACACAGAAAUAAAAAUAA